GGAAACUACAACAAAACAGGAAUUAAACCAAUAAGAUUAGGAAACAUGGAGCCAAGUAAAGCACAACUGAACCAAAACCAUGACAGUCUUUCUCUGUGCCGUCCUCAGGUGGGGACUGGGAAGCUCCUCACCAUCCUGGAUGUCCCGGUUCCUCACAGAAGUUCUGCUUUAGGACGACAACAGAGUCUGAAAUUAACAUGAAAAACUAAGUCAGCAGCUCAGAUGAUCCUCCUCUGGUUUGGUCGCUGCAGAUCUCAUCAGCAUCUUCUGAUGGCCCAAAGCAUGGAGAGGCUCGGUCCAACAUGGGUUUCAAAAAACACAGAAGAGAUCCACUGCGGUCAGAACAGGCCAAGAUGAUAUGGAGAAUAUUUCUGCAGAGGGUUCUUUUCCCUCAAACUAGGCCUGAAAACUAACUGACCAGAGGAACAUCUAGAACUAGAACAAGUCACAUCGGAAAGCUGUUUCUAACAGUCGGUGCCCCUCA